AACGCGAAGAACCUUACCCGGGCUUGACAUCCUGUGACAUCCUAAGAGAUUAGGUUUUCUAGCAAUAGAACACAGAGACAGGUGCUGCAUGGCUGUCGUCAGCUCGUGCCGUGAGGUGUUGGGUUAAGUCCCGCAACGAGCGCAACCCUUGUCGUGUGUUGGUCGAAAGAUCUCUCACGCGAGACCGCCGGUGACAAGCCGGAGGAAGGUGGGGAUGACGUCAAGUCAGCAUGGCCCUUACGUCCGGGGCUACACACGUGCUACAAUGGAAGGGACAGCGAGUCGCUAACCCGCGAGGGCAAGCUAAUCUCUUAAACCCUUCCUCAGUUCGGAUUGGAGGCUGCAACUCGCCUCCAUGAAGUCGGAAUCGCUAGUAACCGCAGAUCAGCUACGCUGCGGUGAAUACGUUCCCGGGCCUUGUACACACCGAGACGAC
rnacentral:rRNA from 1 species